ensembl:lncRNA
AUUCGAGGACAAAGUGAUGACAUGGGCCAGAGGGUGCUAAGAGAUAUGCUUUAGGGGCUUACCUGAGAUCAGUUUUUGGUUUGCACGAAAAUGGCUAUGGUUAGUGUCUGUAAGGCAACAUCUCACCCUUUAUUGGCUGCAUUGGCCUAUCACUGGUUCAGAGCUAAUCCUGCCUUCAUCUCAUUAUUGGAUCUGCUGGUGUUUAGCUGCUUAGACCUAGCAUAGCCAUGGCAUUGGCUUCUGAAAGCAAAAAGUUAGAUCCGGUCACCUCUAAAGUCAAAGAAUCACAGUAAACGGGCGUUACUUAUGUAGCAUUUGAUGAACCAGAAGUACAGAGUUCAGAUGCAGGGAAUAGAGAGGCUAACAAAAUUAGCAUGUAGCAUGAAUUAGCUCUUUGGAUGCUCCUUUGUGCUAAUUUCUCUCACUGUCAGCUCUGAUUAGUUAAUUCCACGAAACCCAAAUCUUACCAAUUGGGUGUGAGAACAUGUUUUCUUUAUGUUCCAUAGUUUACCAACAGGGUUAAUCUCAGAGAUGAGACCUGAUAGUGUAGGCUAUUUUUUUAAAUGCAAUUAUGUUUGUCCUUACAUGAAUCUUCAUCAUUUUCAUGUGUAGUUUACAUGAAUCCACUCACUGAACUCCUGGUAUUGGCUGAAUACUUUAUUUUAUUAGCUGUGUAUGUUAAUGCAAUCUUGGGUUUUGAUUUUUUACUGUUUUUGAACCGUGGCAGUUAGCAACUACCCAGAACACCCUCGUAAUCACAUUACAACCUUAAAGCAACACCCUAGCAACCACUCAGAACAUCUUGACAUCAUGCUGAAAAAUGUUGCAUGGAGAAAUACUACGAAGAAGAAAAAGUGCACAUUUUGUCGUAGUGCAAAACACUAUAGCAUUAGAUAUGUUGCUAUUUUGAAUAGGAUGAUUUUAUUAUAUAUAUAAAUAUAGUCUUAUGAGUGGUAGCAUUGUCCUUCAAGAUUUAAUCCUGUUAGCCCAGUCCUGCCUCAAUCCUAAUCCACACAGAUUGCUGAAGUUCCCUCUGGAUGGUCUCAAUGCCCAACUUCUGCUCAACAUUCAGAGUCUCAGGAUGUUUAACUGGGUGGUGAAGGUCGUGCCACAUCCUCCUGACACACAGGGGGAUCUGGGGGAGGAGGCGAUCGCGGCGAAUGGGAAAACAUCAAAUCGAGAUAAGUUCAGUUCAUCCAAAACAGGCAGUAAGGAAGACCAGUCAUCUCAAACAUCAAAAGAUAGUGUUCAGAAUGGUAUGUUGAACUGGAUCUCCAACGGUUUUGCCAGCGCACUGCCUCUGCCCGGGAGUCCACUUCUUACGAGAGCCAACUCUGAUGCAAAAGAUGAAGGGUCUGUAGACAGGUCUGGAGUUAUUGGCUGGAUCACACAGGGAAUUGGAGAAGUGGUCCCACAGCCUGAUGAGAAAUACAUACAGGACAAGAGUCCAGAAUCUGAAGAAGUCACAGAGGUUUAUGAGGCAAAGGACCUCCCAGAUCAGGAGGCUUUGCCACAUAUACCAGUAGUAGAACUGAUGUCAGAAGACGAGGCAUCUGAAGUGGAACCAACCGCUAAGUUCCCUCCUAAUGUAAUGAGCUGGAUAAAGAGCGGCUUCCAGAACGCUGUUCCGCACCAUGUGACCAGACCCCCAAGUUCCAGUUCUUCCACGCCGAGGUCAUCACAGUGCUCAAACAAAGUUUAUUCACCUCCUCCAGAGUCAGAAACCAGCGUGACAGAGAUCGAUUCAAAAACUCCAAGUAUGAUGGGUUGGAUUGUUCAGGGUCUGGGUCUUUCAAUGCCACAACCGGGGCUUAAAAACAAAUAAGGGUGUUUG